UAUGGCUAUAUCACAUUGAAACACUGGUUCUUAGAUGAUCACAAAAGUUAAGCUAUGUUGAGCCUGGUCUGUACCUAGAUGAGUAACCGCUUGAGAAUACUGGGUGCUGUAAG